rnacentral:rRNA from 1 species
UGGGGGAUAUUGCACAAUGGGCGAAAGCCUGAUGCAGCGACGCCGCGUGGGGGAUGAAGGCUUUCGGGUUGUAAACCUCUUUCGCUAUCGAACAAGGCCCGCGUAGGGAGGGUUGAGGGUAGGUGGAGAAGAAGCGCCGGCUAACUACGUGCCAGCAGCCGCGGUAAUACGUAGGGCGCGAGCGUUGUCCGGAAUUAUUGGGCGUAAAGGGCUUGUAGGCGGCUUGUUGCGCCUGCUGUGAAAACGCGGGGCUUAACUUCGCGCGUGCAGUGGGUACGGGCAGGCUUGAGUGUGGUAGGGGUGACUGGAAUUCCAGGUGUAGCGGUGGAAUGCGAAGAUAUCUGGAGGAACACCGAUGGCGAAGGCAGGUCACUGGGCCAUUACUGACGCUGAGGAGCGAAAGCAUGGGUAGCGAACAGG